rnacentral:rRNA from 1 species
UACGUAGGGUGCAAGCGUUAAUCGGAAUACUGGGCGUAAAGCGUGCGCAGGCGGUUGUGCAAGACAGAUGUGAAAUCCCCGGGCUUAACCUGGGAACUGCAUUGGUGACUGGCAGGCUUUGAGUGUGGCAGAGGGAGGUAGAAUUCCACGUGUAGCAGUGAAAUGCGUAGAGAUGUGGAGGAAUACCGAUGGCGAAGGCAGCCUCCUGGGCCAACACUGACGCUCAUGCACGAAAGCGUGGGGAGCAAACAGG